rnacentral:rRNA from 1 species
UACGUAGGGUGCAAGCGUUGUCCGGAAUUAUUGGGCGUAAAGAGCUCGUAGGCGGUUAGUCACGUCGGCUGUGAAAACCCGAGGCUCAACCUCGGGCCUGCAGUCGAUACGGGCAGACUAGAGUGCUGUAGGGGAGACUGGAAUUCCUGGUGUAGCGGUGAAAUGCGCAGAUAUCAGGAGGAACACCGGUGGCGAAGGCGGGUCUCUGGGCAGUAACUGACGCUGAGGAGCGAAAGCGUGGGGAGCAAACAGG